GGGGCCGUAGUCUAGCUUGGUCAGGACGCCACCUUGGGGUGGUGGUAACCCGAGUUCAAAUCUCGGCGGCCCCA
rnacentral:tRNA from 1 species